rnacentral:rRNA from 1 species
UGAGGAAUAUUGGACAAUGGGCGCAAGCCUGAUCCAGCCAUGCCGCGUGCAGGAAGAAGCAUCUAUGGGGUGUAAACUGCUUUUGUACGGGAAGAAACACUCCUUCGUGAAGGAGCUUGACGGUACCGUAAGAAUAAGGAUCGGCUAACUCCGUGCCAGCAGCCGCGGUAAUACGGAGGAUCCAAGCGUUAUCCGGAAUCAUUGGGUUUAAAGGGUCCGUAGGCGGUGUAGUAAGUCCGUGGUGAAAGCCCAUCGCUCAACGCUGGAACUGCCAUUGAUACUGCUAGACUUGAAUGAUUAGGAGGUAGCUAGAAUAUGUAGUGUAGCGGUGAAAUGCUUAGAUAUUACGUGGAAUACCAGUUGCGAAGGCAAGUUACUACUAAUGGAUUGACGCUGAUGGACGAAAGCGUGGGGAGCGAACA